UACGUAGGGAGCGAGCGUUAUCCGGAUUUAUUGGGUGUAAAGGGUGCGUAGACGGGAAAUUAAGUUGGUUGUGAAAUCCCUUGGCUUAACUGAGGAACUGCAACCAAAACUGGCUUUCUUGAGUGCAGGAGAGGAAAGCGGAAUUCCUAGUGUAGCGGUGAAAUGCGUAGAUAUUAGGAGGAACACCAGUGGCGAAGGCGGCUUUCUGGACUGUAACUGACGUUGAGGCACGAAAGCGUGGGGAGCAAAC
rnacentral:rRNA from 1 species